AGCCAUGACGAUGCAGCACAUAACCAAGCAGAGGAGCCAUACCAUAAAAGAUUGAGAGAAUCUAACACCCAUCUCAACCUUUAAACUCCAUCACCAGGUCAAGGAUAAAAUUGAUGAGCCAAUAGGUGAUGCUAAAGGUACAAUUGGAGCUUUGUGCAUAAAAAAAUGCUAAACAAUUCUAUGAUCUUAGAAUUCUUCAAAGGCCGGGGAAAAAAAAGCUUUGGAAUGCAUUUGAUGAACAUUUGGAGACAUUGAAAAGAUAAGGGUACCACAUUCAAACUUGAUGCAAUUAGCAUAUGGACAAGGCAACAAUGG